UGGCAGUACAUGCAGCCAUGCAGCUGACAUUACCGUAAUAGACGUAAUAGAAAAGUAAUAGAAGUAAUUUUAUACAGAGCAAGAUUCUUUGGUAUGAUAAAAAUUUGAACAGAUCUUUAUCAGCCUAUUUAUCUACUUUCUCUUUCUGCAUAUAUACCCACCUACACAUAAACUUACAGUGGAAAGAUAAAAUCCUCCUCCAUACAAACACACCUUCAGAUUUCACUGAGAACGGAACAUGGCAGAGGAGCUUUCGAAAGCCCGGCUCGACCUCAUUAAUGGAGUUAAUAAUGCUCUCCUUAUGGCUCUCAUUGAUGGUCUCAUGAAUUCAAAACCUCCCGUUCUUACUGUCAGGGAAGCUCAUGAGAUUCUCCAGACUCAGCAAGAGACAAAGGACAAGACUGGACUACUAGUAGAUAUAGUCUGUAAAAAAGGUGACCAGGCCAGUAAAUCUAUGAUCUCUAUUUUGAAAAAAAAGGGUGGAAAUGUCGCCAAAUGCAUCGGCCUUCGCUAGGACAAAGAGAAACGUACGGAGAUGAAUGUACCCAAAUUCUACAAAAAAAAAAAGAAGAAAAGAAAAAGGAACGUGGAUGUUGGGAACAUGAAAAUGGAAAAAAAAAUUCCUCAGACCUGCCAAACAAUCAUGUGAAGCCGACUUUGUAUACUGUACACUGUGACACACAAAUGAAUAAAUAAAAAAUAUAUAUAUUGACAAACUGAUCAGAAUCCUCUAGUCUUUCUAUAAAUCAUCUGUUCUUUUUCUGCAUUGAAAGAUUCCUCACAGGACGUUAAUAAUAACGUCUAAAAAAGCUUUCUGUUUUAUGGAAAAUGUAGAACCAUGUCUGUUUCGUAACUUCAUAUCGAUUGUGUUUCAUGAAAAUAAGUUAUACCAAAGUGUAUUAGCCUACUUUUGUCGAACAGUGCAGUCGUAUGUGUGUUCUCCUCUUUAUACCACAGCAGUUUGCCAACGAUUACAAUUUUUCGUUUGUUAAAGAAGGGCAUGUAGCACUUUUUUUUUUUUUAAUUGUUUAUCAUUACAUUUAUUGUUCAAGAGAACAGGUUAGUUCCUGUUAACGCUUGCAUCAUAAACAGUUGCUCCCUCACCAACAUUUCUGGUAUUCUUUCUCUUGAAAUUCACGAGACCAGAAAAACAAAUCUUGUCACAUAACUGAAUAAGAAGAAAACGCAAAACGUCCUCUGUCACGAAGACUAUCCCAUGUUAAACUUACUGACUGUUACAAAGCACUGACACUGGAGACUCCUUCCAUAAAUGUCCUUCCACAACCAUUUCCGAACUAAAAAAAACAAAACCUCACCAUAUCAACAAUUCUUUGUUAAACAAAAAACAAGUUUUUAAUCCUUUCAUUAUUUGCUUUACAUGUAGAUUAUAUGGACAAUAUCACGUUAAUACAAACCAUUUAUCGUUUAUUUUUACAGUCGGAACUACUGUUUUUAAUGCACACCUUCCCAGUUAAAACCUGCAUGUGAGUUAUUACUAGUUUAUUAAUAAAUUAUUUCUAGAUUAUCAUGAAUAGUUAUUAGAUUUUUAUUAAUUUUUUUC